UGGGGAAUAUUGCACAAUGGAGGAAACUCUGAUGCAGCGACGCCGCGUGAGUGAAGAAGUAAUUCGUUAUGUAAAGCUCUAUCAGCAGGGAAGAUAGUGACGGUACCUGACUAAGAAGCUCCGGCUAAAUACGUGCCAGCAGCCGCGGUAAUACGUAUGGAGCAAGCGUUAUCCGGAUUUACUGGGUGUAAAGGGAGUGUAGGUGGCAUCACAAGUCAGAAGUGAAAGCCCGGGGCUCAACCCCGGGACUGCUUUUGAAACUGUGGAGCUAGAGUGCAGGAGGGGCAAGUGGAAUUCCUAGUGUAGCGGUGAAAUGCGUAGAUAUUACGAAGAACUCCGAUUGCGAAGGCAGCUAUCUGGGGUGCAACUGACGCUGAGGCUCGAAGGUGUGGGUAUCAAACAGGAUUAGAUACCCUGGUAGU
rnacentral:rRNA from 1 species